rnacentral:rRNA from 1 species
CGAAAGCCUGACGCAGCAACGCCGCGUGAAGGAUGAAGGCUCUCGAGUCGUAAACUUCUGUCUGGGGGAAAGAUGAUCGACGGUACCCCCAAAGCAAGCCCCGGCUAAUUCCGUGCCAGCAGCCGCGGUAAUACGGAAGGGGCAAGCGUUGUUCGGAAUUAUUGGGCGUAAAGGGCGUGUAGGCGGCUUCGCAGGUCGGUGGUGAAAGCAUACAGCUCAACUGUAUUGAGCCACGGAAACGGCGGAGCUUGAGGCUGGGGAGGGGCUGGUGGAAUUCCCUGUGUAGCGGUGAAAUGCGUAGAGAUGGGGGAGAACACUCGUGGCGAAGGCGGCCAGCUGGACCAGUUCUGACGCUGAGACGCGAAAGCGUGGGGAGCAAACAGGAUUAGAUACCCUGGUAGUCCACGCCGUAAACGAUGGGCACUAGGUGUCGGCGGUUCAUAAUCCGUCGGUGCCGGCGCUAACGCAGUAAGUGCCCCGCCUGGGGAGUACGGUCGCAAGGCUG